rnacentral:tRNA from 1 species
GUUACGGUUGUCUAGCGGUUAGAACGCUGGCCUUGUAAUCCUGGGGUCUCGGGUUCGAUUCCCGGCGGUGCCC